rnacentral:lncRNA from 1 species
GUUAGAUGUGUAUUUGAAUUACAAAACAUAUGCAAGUAUUACAGAAUAUUUUUAAAAUCGUCAUCAAUAAGUUCAUGAUGCAAAUUUUAAAUUCAGGUCAAAUAGUGGUAUCACGAAGAUUUUCCUUAUUACUUUUCCAGUCUUUGAAGCGUUAAUAGCUCGACAUUCUUAACAAACUCUUGUCCGUUGAUACAAAGAUGCUAUUUGUUUAUUGGCCUUUCACAUAUUAAAACUAAUUGCGAUUAAGACAUCCCCGUUUGUACUCUGCUGGUCAUUCGGUUGUGGUGAUAACAGAACAUAUAUGUCAGAAUUAGCGUCAAUGUCAACACAGUUAUCGUUCCAGACAACACUUGAUAUAUGUUCAUAAAAAUGAGCAAAUUUAAGUUAAUCCAUAUCACAGUAUGUAAUUGUUUUAUAUACAUGACGUAUACGAUUUGCUUUCAGAUGUUUUUAUAUCUGUGUUUUCAGAGGUUUUUAUAUCUGUGUUUUCAGAGGUUUUUAUAUUUGUGUUUUAAGAGGUUUUUAUAUCUGUGUUUUCAGAUGUUAAUAUAUCUGUGUUGUUUCCUUUUAUCCAAUAUGUUGUCAUUAAGCCCUUUCCCUGUA